rnacentral:lncRNA from 1 species
GGUGGAGCAGCAGUGUUCUCUGACAGGGUAAGGGUAAGGUGGAGCAGCAGUGUUCUCUGGCAGGGUAAGGUGGAGCAGCAGUGUUCUCUGGCAGGGUAAGGUGGAGCAGCAGUGUUCUCUGGCAGGGUAAGGUGGAGCAGCGGUGAUCUCUGGCAGGGUAAGGUGGAGCAGCAGUGUUCUCUGGCAGGGUAAGUUGGAGCGGCAGUGAUCUCUGGCAGGGUAAGGUGGAGCAGCAGUGUUCUCUGGCAGGGUAAGGUGGAGCAGCAGUGUUCUCUGGCAGUGUAAGGGUAAGGUGGAGCAGCAGUGUUCUCUGGCAGGGUAAGGUGGAGCAGCAGUGUUCUCUGGCAGGGUAAG